UUCUUGUAGCCGGUUCUUCUAUCGCCGUUUCUUCUUUCGUUCUAACUGUUUGUGGUGCCGGAAUCAAACGAUGGAUUUCUUCACUCACCGCCGCUUCUUCCAUCGUCUUUUCAUCUUCUUUCGUCACCAUUUUCGAUUUUGGAUUAAUCCACCAUGAGUGGAGCGUUUCACAGCAGCGCUUCCUAUACGCUAACGCCUGUACAUUCAGCUAUACAAUAACACAUCUAACAUCCAUUUUUCCCUGUAUCUGAUAAAUAACCCAAUCUUUUUUUUCUUGUAAACUAUAAAAUUUUUAUACUUUUUUUUAAAUUUUAUCUACCCGUAAUCCUAGCCGACAUUAACUAUUUUUUUAAUUAACAUAACUUUUUUUCCCUCAA
rnacentral:lncRNA from 1 species